CCCAUGCAAGAUUAGCUAGUUGGUGAGGUAAAUGCUUACCAAGGCUACGAUCUUUAGCUGGUCUGAGAGGAUGAUCAGCCACACUGGAACUGAGACACGGUCCAGACUCCUACGGGAGGCAGCAGUGGGAAAUAUUGGACAAUGGGCGAAAGCCUGAUCCAGCGACGCCGCGUGAGUGAAGAAGGCCUUCGGGUUGUAAAGCUCUUUCGGUAGGGAAGAUAAUGACGGUACCUACAAAAGAAGCUCCGGCUAACUUCGUGCCAGCAGCCGCGGUAAUACGAAGGGAGCUAGCGUUACUCGGAAUUAUUGGGCGUAAAGCGUACGUAGGCGGCUUAGUAAGUUGGGAGUGAAAUCCUUGGGCUUAACCCAAGAAUUG
rnacentral:rRNA from 1 species